UGGUGGGUAGUUUGACUGGGGCGGUCUCCUCCUAAAGAGUAACGGAGGAGCACGAAGGUUGGCUAAUCCUGGUCGGACAUCAGGAGGUUAGUGCAAUGGCAUAAGCCAGCUUGACUGCGAGCGUGACGGCGCGAGCAGGUGCGAAAGCAGGUCAUAGUGAUCCGGUGGUUCUGAAUGGAAGGGCCAUCGCUCAACGGAUAAAAGGUACUCCGGGGAUAACAGGCUGAUACCGCCCAAGAGUUCAUAUCGACGGCGGUGUUUGGCACCUCGAUGUCGGCUCAUCACAUCCUGGGGCUGAAGUAGGUCCCAAGGGUAUGGCUGUUCGCCAUUUAAAGUGGUACGCGAGCUGGGUUUAGAACGUCGUGAGACAGUUCGGUCCCUAUCUGCCGUGGGCGCUGGAGAACUGAGGGGGGCUGCUCCUAGUACGAGAGGACCGGAGUGGACGCAUCACUGGUGUUCGGGUUGUCAUGCCAAUGGCACU
rnacentral:rRNA from 25 species